UGAACGCUGGCGGCGUGCCUAACACAUGCAAGUCGAGCGGUAACAGGUGUAGCAAUACAUGCUGACGAGCGGCGAACGGGUGAGUAAUGUUUCGGAAUCUGCCCAAUGGUGGGGAAUAACCAGCCGAAAGGUUGGCUAAUACCGCAUAAGUCCUACGGGGGAAAGCGGGGGAUCGCAAGACCUCGCGCCGAUGGAUGAGCCGAAACCGGAUUAGCUAGUUGGUAGGGUAACGGCCUACCAAGGCGACGAUCCGUAGCUGGUCUGAGAGGACGACCAGCCACACUGGGACUGAGACACGGCCCAGACUCCUACGGGAGGCAGCAGUGGGGAAUAUUGGACAAUGGGGGAAACCCUGAUCCAGCGACGCCGCGUGUGUGAAGAAGGCCUGCGGGUUGUAAAGCACUUUUAGUGGGGAUGAAAAGCUCAGGGCUAAUACCGCUGAGUCUUGACCUAACCCAAAGAAAAAGCACCGGCUAACUCUGUGCCAGCAGCCGCGGUAAUACAGAGGGUGCAAGCGUUAAUCGGAAUUACUGGGCGUAAAGCGUGCGUACACGGUUAUGUAAGUCGGGUGUGA
rnacentral:rRNA from 1 species